GCUGUGAUGGCCGAGAGGUGAAGGCGUUGGACUCGAAAUCCAAUAGGUUUUCCCUGCGCAGGUUCGAAUUCUGCUCACAGUG
rfam:Cuculus canorus isolate BGI_N303 unplaced genomic scaffold scaffold137, whole genome shotgun sequence.